rnacentral:lncRNA from 1 species
GCCAAGUGACGAAAUUCAUGUUAUGGAACAUGCCACUGCCAACUCCUGCAAUAAACCUGAUUGGCUGCCUGCCUUACCUGAUGAGGUUUUCUUAUCAAGAAAUGGGUGACUCAAAUGCUACUAGUCCCUGUUUUAGAUAGAACAGUUCUGAAUCAAACCUCUAUCAGACGUUGAUGUCCCAUUGAGAGAGGAAGGCAUGGCCACCAAAGGAGCAGCUGUAUCUAGG